GCUUUCGUGGCGUAGUGGUCAGCACACUCGGCGCGUAACCUAGAGGUGGUCCGUGGUUCGAUUCCCGGCGAAGGCG
rnacentral:tRNA from 1 species